UGUAGGCCUACUGCAGCCGCUAGGCUAUAUGCGUGCCAACUCGUUUCAUUCAUUCUAUAAAUAUGCUUAACUGGCUGAAAUCAGGGAAACUGUCAAGUGGGACGUCUUAUGAUAAAGUUGUUAGUCACGAAGUAGGAAAGGGACCAAGAGAGAGUGAGGAUUUGGAGGCAACAGAGACGGAGAGAAUAGAGAAAGAAAAUGAGCGGGAGUCAGAAGAUGCAACGGAGGAAACCGAAGAGGAGGGAAGGAGAUGCCAAAAAAGAGGUUUCCCCAUCACCUCCCAUACCAUGGGCCUGAGGAGCAUGACCUUCUGGGUGAGGAGUUUCUAAAACUGAAAUGGAAAGCUUCUGGGCUGAAAUGGCAACCCGGAAACAUAAGCUGACAGCAGCCAAAGAAUUCGAUAGACUUGCUGCCGUCACCAAGCUGGUCCUGGUGUUGUCCCAUGCAAACGCAGAUGCUGGGAGGGUGUUUUCAUUUGUGGGACUGAACAAAACCAAGAGAAGAAACCUCUUGUGCCUAGCAUUGGAUAACACCCUGUCCUCAGUAAUGACCAUAAAGAUGGCCAAUCUGGAGCCCUGCUUCAAUGAGAGCCCCCCUCAGAUAUCAUCAAGGCCUCCAAGAAGACCACAGGCCAGUAUAACCAUGCCCACAGAUCACAGACAUGGACUUUACCCAGCUUCUGAUCUGCAUCUGAUACUGAUUAGAUUAUGACUCAUUUUGUUAUUUUUGUAAUGCAUUCAUUUGUUUUAUUGCUAGAAAAAGUUGUACUGUUUAAGUACUUUUAAGCACUUUGUUUGUUGCACUUUAUUUGUUUCUGAUGGACCAUGUGGUGGGAGGCUUUGAAUGAAAAAUAAUGUCCUUCCCUAA